AAUACAAAGGGUUUCGUGCUUUCAAAUUAUUUUCGAUGAUAGCACUUUUGAUUCAGCGAUUGACUUUGUUAGACAUAAUUUAUAGUAUUAAAACUCUCUAAAAAUUAAUUUUAUAAUUUUUUAUUUUAUUUGUAUAGUAAACGAGUGUCUUAAAAUAAAUGACUGAAAAUAAAAAUUUCAUAACGAAUAGUAAUAAAAGACUUAUAUUUCAAAUCGAAAGAAUCGACCCUAUUUUUGAUGAUAAGUAAAAUUUUCUAUUAAAGUUUUAUCUAAUUUGAAUUGUUCUAUACUGUUGAACUUACAAAAGUACUACAUCGACCAUUAAAAUAUUAAUUUUAACACCCUUUGAUCACUUGACAAAUAAUGUUGAAAAAUUAUGAAGUUUAGUUUCUAAUAGUUCUAAUAGCGUAAAUCUAACUUUAAAAACUUUAUUAACCUUUUCAAUUAAUAAUUUUUUAUUUAUGAUUAAAAUUUAUAAUAUUUAUUGCAUGACUCUUAAAAUACCGUUGAACACAU
rnacentral:lncRNA from 1 species